AGGUGGUAGUGGAUCCACACACAUACAUAUAUAUAUAUAUGUAUGUGUGUGGAUCCACUACCACCU